UCUCCGUUGGUGAACCAGCGGAGGGAUCAUUACAGAGUUGCAAAACUCCCAAACCAUUGUGAACGUUACCUAUCCCGUUGCUUCGGCGGGCGGCCCGGGCCCCGCGCCCGGCGCCCCCCGGCCCCCCGUGGGCGCCCGCCGGAGGUAAACCAAACCCUUGAAUUGCAUGGCCUCUCUGAGUCUUCUGUACUGAAUAAGUCAAAACUUUCAACAACGGGUCUCUUGGUUCUGGCAUGAUGAAGAACGCAGC
rnacentral:misc_RNA from 1 species